UGGUGGCCAUUUCCCUGGGCAGUAGCCUUAUAGUCUGCCUCUGUAGGACAUCAUGUGACCUUCAAGGGCCUUUGACAUUUGGCUAGCAGAUAUUGGGAGUAAAAUGGCUACUUUGUCUCCCAGUACAGGAACAUGUAAUUUAGCCUUUUGAUUAUAUACUUUUGUUGUCUAUCUUAGGCUCCGAGUAAAUGCUCCUACCUCACCACUCCCAGCGAUUGUUGUUGUUUGGAGAGCAUAUUGAGCUGUGUGUUUGGACCUUUCUCGCAGUGUUCCAAGGCAACAUUAAUUCAGUGAAACGGGUAACAGCACUUGGAAUCGGGUUACUGGGGACAAAACAAAACAGCGCUCUAAACAGAGCAAGGCGCAGGUGUAAGGAGUCGCUAUGGAUACUCCCAGUCACCUGAUGCUGUCCUGCCCUCAUGCCCAGCAUGGAGCUCCAUGCUUGAUGAAACAAAGCCUAAAGGAAUGUGUGCUCUGCUGUGUACAGGAGGGAGAUGAGGGCAUGGAGGUAAAGCAAGCAUAGAGGCAGCCUCCAGUGCUCACUGAGCUUGCAGUGCUUCAUUACCUGAGAUCAGUCAGACAUGCUGCAGAGCUCCAAGCCUCAUAAUUAAAAGCCAUCCGUAGCACACCAAGAUGCAUCGGCGCGGAGCUGAUGUUGCCGGUGGUAACAAGAAAUGUACUGAAAGCUGAGAAAAUGCGGGUUUCAUGAUUCCUCCUUAUGAGGAAGAUCCAAUGAACCCUAAUGUCCUGCAAUGGACACCCAACACCAAGAUAUUCAGAAACUCUUACUGGGUUUAUUCAGAACCUUUUAUUGGAUUUAUUCAGAACCUUUACACCAACAUUAGAUAUGGUGCAGGAGUACUCUGCUCUCUCAAGCCAAACAUGCCAAUGAGGAUCACUCUUUCAGACAGGAAGUUAGGAAUUAUGAUCUCUCAGGAAGAUAGGACAUUGGUCUGUAUCUGUGUCACAGGUUAACAGGAGUACAAUGAUGCCGUAUCUAUAAAGAUAUUCAAAGAAAAUGAUUAUUUUUAACAUAUAAUUUCAGGAUUUUUUACGUAUCUCACGAUUCUCAAGACCUUAAGAUCUUCAGCUACAUUGCCCGGGAUGGAGCCAGCAAUUCAUUCAGGUGUAACGUGUUCAAGUCCAAGAAAAAGACCCAGGCCAUGCGCAUCGUGCGGACGGUGGGUCAGGCCUUUGAGGUUUGCCACAAGCUCAGCCUGCAACACGCGCAGCAGGGCACCGGCGGCCAGGCGGACGGCACCAGCGACAAGUCGGCGGAGGAGACUUUGCGGGAUGACUGUCAGCUGACUGGGGCAGAGCCAGACAAAGCAGCCAGCAAAGGGGAGGAAUGCCAGACGGGGGCGCUGUGCGAGCAGGCCGUCAGUGACAUCCUCCAGAGCCUCGCAGAACUCAACGUCGUAAAAUCCAGCUAUUUCCUUCCUGACAAAAACU